rnacentral:misc_RNA from 1 species
GUUAUGUGUUUAGGCGGACGAGGUCCGCGGUCAUUCUAUGAGAUGUAGAGUUUGUAAAGGGGACGGCUUUCGCCGGCAGAGGCUCGGCCGUCCCAAAGGUGCACAGGGGUUUGGUUUGGAAGGCACGCCCGAGAGCCCGCAGCACGACGUCUCCGUCGGUGCAGGGCCGACCCGGGCGGCCGAACGAACACGUUAAUGAUCCUUCCGCAGGUUCACCUACGGAAA